rnacentral:lncRNA from 1 species
UAUCGUACCAAAAAGACGUGUGUCGUCCAUUACCCACUGCCUUCAUGUGGAAAGUCUUUGCUAUAUCCCUCAGCUUAAGCAUCUUUCUCCACAUCCAAGAACCCACUUGAGUUUUCUCACUCACCUCCCAGAAGCUUUUGCUUUUAAGUAGGUUUGCUUUGAUCCAUUUGCCCCAAAGCGAGUCUCCGUCAAACAUUCUCCAUAUUAGCUUGAGACCGUAAACCGUAUUUACUUCUUUGAGUGCGCGUAUCCCUAGUCCUCCUUCAUUUGU